rnacentral:rRNA from 1 species
UACGUAGGGGGCAAGCGUUAUCCGGAUUUACUGGGUGUAAAGGGAGCGUAGACGGCGAUGCAAGCCAGAUGUGAAAGCCCGGGGCUCAACCCCGGGACUGCAUUGGAAACUGUCGCGCUCGAGUGUCGGAGAGGUAAGUGGAAUUCCUAGUGUAGCGGUGAAAUGCGUAGAUAUUAGGAAGAACACCAGUGGCGAAGGCGGCUUUCUGGACUGAAACUGACGCUGAGGCACGAAAGCGUGGGGAGCGAACAGG